GCGGUGGAGCAUGUGGUUUAAUUCGAAGCAACGCGAAGAACCUUACCAGGUCUUGACAUCCCUGACAACCCGAGAGAUCGGGCGUUCCCCUUCGGGGGACAGGGUGACAGGUGGUGCAUGGUUGUCGUCAGCUCGUGUCGUGAGAUGUUGGGUUAAGUCCCGGCAACGAGCGCAACCCUCGACCUUAGUUGCCAGCAUUCAGUUGGGCACUCUAAGGUGACUGCCGGCUAAAAGUCGGAGGAAGUGGGGAUGACGUCAAAUCAUCAUGCCCCUUAUGACCUGGGCUACACACGUGCUACAAUGGGCGGUACAAAGGGUCGCGAACCCGCGAGGGGGAGCCAAUCCCAAAAAGCCGCUCUCAGUUCGGAUUGCAGGCUGCAACUCGCCUGCAUGAAGCCGGAAUCGCUAGUAAUCGCGGAUCAGCAUGCCGCGGUGAAUACGUUCCCGGGCCUU
rnacentral:rRNA from 1 species